rnacentral:ncRNA from 1 species
CCCCGCCGCGCCGGGGUGCCCUUCGGGGCGAAGGGGCGCGGGUGGUUUCAGUCGGACAGUCACCACGCAGCAAGCAACCCCGACAGCC